rnacentral:ncRNA from 1 species
CGGGGAAAAGCAGACUCCCGGCCUAUCCGGAACAUCCGCUGUUCCGGCCAAGACGGUGUCCCGUCCAAGUCCUGC